UACGUAGGUGGCAAGCGUUGUCCGGAUUUAUUGGGUUUAAAGGGUGCGUAGGCGGUUCUAUAAGUCAGUGGUGAAAUCCGGCAGCUCAACUGUCGAUGUGCCAUUGAUACUGCAGAACUUGAGUACAGACGAGGUAGGCGGAAUUGACGGUGUAGCGGUGAAAUGCUUAGAUAUCGUCAAGAACACCGAUAGUGAAGACAGCUUACUAGACUUCAACUGACGCUGAGGCACGAAAGUGUGGGGAUCAAACAGG
rnacentral:rRNA from 1 species